rnacentral:lncRNA from 14 species
CAAAUGCUAUUAUAUAUAUUAGUGAUUACUUGAAAUAAAACACUGAGGGCUAUCACGGAGGAUGUGUCUCAUUGUACUGAAGAAUUUGUCACUUUUCCCAGCUUCAGAAUUCAUUAUGGCCACACUUUCCGGUCAUUUUACAAAAUCUGUCUUCAAGGAGGUGGUGAAUUGAGAAAGCACAC